rnacentral:rRNA from 1 species
GACGAACGCUGGCGGCGUGCUUAACACAUGCAAGUCGAACGGAAAGGCCCUGCUUUUGUGGGGUGCUCGAGUGGCGAACGGGUGAGUAACACGUGAGUAACCUGCCCUUUACUUUGGGAUAACUUCAGGAAACUGGGUCUAAUACCGGAUAGGAGCUCCUGCUGCAUGGUGUGGGUUGGAAAGUUUCGGCGGUUGGGGAUGUACUCGCGGCUUAUCAGCUUGUUGGUGGGGUAGUGGCUUACCAAGGCUUUGACGGGUAGCCGGCAUGAGAGGGUGACCGGCAAAAUUGGGACUGAGAUACGGCACAGAAUCCUACGGGAGGCAGCAGUGGGGAAUAUUGCACAAUGGGCGGAAGCCUGAUGCAGCAACGCCGCGUGCGGGAUGACGGACUUCGGGUUGUAAACAGCUUUCGCAUGUGACGAAGCGUGAGUGACGGUAAUGGGUAAAGAAGCACCGGCUAACUACGUG